UAUUGUGAGAAGGUGGGAGAGACUGCACUAGGGGAUUCUAUUCAGAUACCUUCUUAAGCUGAGUCCAAAGUGCAUUUAGUUCAUAAUGCAUUUUCCAUUUUUUAUUAAUCAAAAAAAUGUAUUGAACGAACAUUAAAAAACAUAGCAACUGCAAAGAGCAGUUUUGAAAGGCCAGGAUUUGCUGCUUUUGGUAGCUUAUGCAGUGUUAUCAUGUGAAUAAGUUUACUGUUCCAUUAUAAUUUUGCAGAAAUUACAUAUACUUCUUAGUCCUCCAUUAUUACUUUUAAAGUUUGCUGUUGGAGAAAUAGCACUUGCUAUUUUUUCC
rnacentral:lncRNA from 1 species